rnacentral:rRNA from 1 species
AGGACGGACGCUGGCGGCGUGCUUAACACAUGCAAGUCGAGCGGUAAGGCCUUUCGGGGUACACGAGCGGCGAACGGGUGAGUAACACGUGGGUGAUCUGCCCUGCACUCUGGGAUAAGCCUGGGAAACUGGGUCUAAUACCGGAUAUGACCUGCUCUCGCAUGGGGGUGGGUGGAAAGAUUUAUCGGUGCAGGAUGGGCCCGCGGCCUAUCAGCUUGUUGGUGGGGUAAUGGCCUACCAAGGCGACGACGGGUAGCCGACCUGAGAGGGUGACCGGCCACACUGGGACUGAGACACGGCCCAGACUCCUACGGGAGGCAGCAGUGGGGAAUAUUGCACAAUGGGCGAAAGCCUGAUGCAGCGACGCCGCGUGAGGAUGAAGGCCUUCGGGUUGUAAACCUCUUUCAGCAGGACGAAGCGCAAGUGACGGUACCUGCAGAAGAAGCACCGGCUAACUACGUCGACCAGCAAGCCGAC